GAAACGCCGGCUGAUGAAACUGACAAAGGCGAGAGCGCGCAGCAGCCCACAGCAGCCGAGUUCGCGCCGCCGGUAGGUGCUGCCAUGCCAGGGGGCGGGAUCGUGGAGCGCCUCGCAGAACCGCACGAAAGCAAAAACAAAGCCAUCUCUCCGGAGCAGAAAUAGAACAGACGUGGCCGGGGAAAGCCAAAUAUUUGUGAGAUGAUGUGAACAAAGGGGGAAAAGUCAAUCCAGGGAAGUUUGAGUUUCUGGUUGGAGGCUUCAGCGGCUCUGAUCGCUGGAUACUUUAAGAGAACAUCCUUUGCCCCCGCUCUCCCUCUCUCCCCGAAGAAAAAUAAAUCCUUGGCAAAAUGA
ensembl:lncRNA THORLNC testis associated oncogenic lncRNA